rnacentral:rRNA from 1 species
CCUACGGGUGGCUGCAGUGAGGAAUAUUGGUCAAUGGACGAGAGUCUGAACCAGCCAAGUAGCGUGAAGGAUGACUGCCCUAUGGGUUGUAAACUUCUUUUAUAAAGGAAUAAAACGAGGCACGUGUGCCUUUUUGCAUGUACUUUAUGAAAAAGGAUCGGCUAACACCGUGCCAGCAGCCGCGGUAAUACGGAGGAUGCGAGCGUUAUCCGGAUUUAUUGGGUGUAAAGGGAGCGUGGGUGGAUAUGUAAGUCAGUUGUGAAAGUUUGCGGCUCAACCGUAAAAUUGCAGUUGAAACUGGCAGUCUUGAGUACAGUAGAGGUAUGCGGAAUUCGUGGUGUAGCGGUGAAAUGCUUAGAUAUCACGCAGAACUCCGAUUGCGAAGGCAGCUCACUGGACUGCAACUGACACUGAGGCUCGAAAGUGUGGGUAUCAAACAGGAUUAGAUACCCGGGUAGUC